GAUGAACGCUAGCGGCGGGCCUAACACAUGCAAGUCGAACGGUAACAGUACCGCUUGCGGUAGCUGACGAGUGGCGCACGGGUGCGUAACGCGUAUGCAACUUGCCUUUAACUGGAAGAUAGCCCCGAGAAAUCGGGAUUAAUACUCCAUAAUAUCAUAUGGCAGCAUUGUCAAGUGAUUAAAGCUACGGCGGUUAAAGAUGGGCAUGCGUCCCAUUAGCUAGUUGGUAAGGUAACGGCUUACCAAGGCAACGAUGGGUAGGGGGCCUGAGAGGGUGAACCCCCACACUGGUACUGAGACACGGACCAGACUCCUACGGGAGGCAGCAGUGAGGAAUAUUGGUCAAUGGAGGGAACUCUGAACCAGCCACGCCGCGUGAAGGAUGACUGCCCUACGGGUUGUAAACUUCUUUUAUUUGGGAAGAAACUUUUCUACGUGUAGAAAAUUGACGGUACCAAACGAAUAAGGACCGGCUAACUCCG
rnacentral:rRNA from 1 species